rnacentral:lncRNA from 1 species
UGUAAAAUUAGCAGCUGGGGGUUGGGGUGGGUGUUGGUUCUAAGGGAGCAUUUCCCAGUGGAUGGCUAUACACACUCAUAUGAAAAGAGGGCUGCAUUGAUAGUGCUGGGUAGGGUGUCAUGCUCUUUUCUCAAAUGUUCUGUGGAAGUAGCAUGGACAAAACAAAGAGCACUGGGUCUGCACCCAUGCUACCUGGAUGGAUGGAUUUAGCAUUAAGAACUUGAGCGUCCUAUGUUACUUGCCUGGGCCCGUUUCCUCAUCUGUAACAAGAGGACAUGAGUGGUCAUUCAGCCUACCAUUUGGUGCUGUAAAAAUGAGAAGGAUUAUUAUUUUUGUUCUUAUUUUUAUGAAUGUUUCAGGAUUCUGCACAGGGAUACAAUGAAAACGUUUUAUAUCACACACUGAAAAAUGAAAUAUACCAAAAAAGCUGCACCAAGUUAGAAUUUGGAACAGAAAUUAUUUAUAAAAUAGGCAAUGCUACUGGGCAUGUUUUGGUCUUCAAUUAAAUUCUUUUUAAACUCUGGCUCCACAGUGUAAUGGUUUUGGAAUUAGUAAUAAUAAAACACUAGUCACACUGGUGAGUAAUGGUUUUAUUUAAACAGGAUGAAAUGUUAACCCAGUGGUGCCCAGAACCAAAUGUAAGACCUCUAAGUGGCUAUCCCGUGAAUGUCAGAGGCCAGGGUCAUUGCUAUUAACCUUUCGGUGGGGGGCUGAGAUACACACAGCCCAGCUACCUGCAUUUCACCUCAUCAUUUCACCUCGAUGUUUUAUCUGUGCCUCAAAAUUCUUUUGGGAGCACUCAAUAUUGACUUUUUUUUUUUUUUUUUUUUACUGUUAGAGACACUGGGGCUCAGAAGGAUUGACUUGGUCAAAGUCUCACCGCCUGUAGGGGGUGCAGAGCCGAAGAGGUCAUGACAGUGCAGAGAGCACAGUUUGACUGUGACAUGACAGGCGUCGGCUGGGUUUCCAUUAGAGCACACAGGCGUCUUGACAAAUACAGCCACAGGCAAGCUUCUACUUACGCAGUCCCCCAACCACCAGGAACACGCCCGCAACAAACCUGUCUGAAAUGGACUCCAUUCCACUCCCCUUCCAGCUUGGAACCCCUGCUAGCAGCAGUAUCACCUGAGGACUUGCUGGAGACCCACAUUCUCUGAAGUCUGGCACCAGGCCUACUGAACGGGAACUCCAGGGGCAGGCCCCAGCAAUCUGCAUUUUUAAGAAGGUCCCCAGGUAAUUCUGAUGCACCCAAAGUGUGAAAACCACUGUUCUAGGGAAACAACGCAAAAGGAAGCCGAGGACCUGAGUAUUCAGCUCUGCUUCUUGACAAGCACAGUGAGAGCCCCCCAAGUUGUGGUUAAAAGCUAUGUGUUAGUUCCAGGCACAGAUGGUGGGGAGGGG